AUACUUGCAUUUUCGCAACAUAUGACCCUCGGACUGUGGAGAGCAGGACAAAAACAAAAAAAAACAAAAACAAAAAACAAAAAACUCACAUACUACUUUCUCACCAGUUUCUUCUCCUCGCUUCCUCUAUUCAAUUUCUUUCUCUCUGCCUCCUCUCUUUAGCUCACCUCUCAAAAGCUCAGUAUUGCUUUUGAUUAAUCUGUUCAGGCUCCAAUAAUAUUUGUGCUAACGUUUCUCUUUGAUGACAUGAUUCUCUGAUCUGGGUCUUCUUUACUUGUUAUUCAGAUCCUAGUUUUUAAUUUCUUUUGGCUUCUGCUACUUCACUGUUGGAAAAGCCAGUAAUAGAAAGCAGCCUAUUUGGUUCUUGGGUUUUUGUUAGUUUCUUGAUUGGUCUAAUCAGAUUGCGAGAAAUGGGUUUUGCCAAUAAGAUGCAGAAAGUGGAUUUUUGCUUUCAGAUUAAUGGUAGACAAAGAAAAUAAAUUGCUUUUGUCAAUCCUGGAUUUCUCUCUGUUUGGGACCUGAAAAAUCAAAAAAUUUUUCUAGUUUGGAAUUUUCUUCACCAGGUUUAUUUACUAUGGGUAGAGGUAGAGGUAAAGGGAAGAAACAAAGCAUUAUUGCUGUUCGUGAGGAUCCUGGAAGUGGUGAAGAGGAGAGGAUUCCACCAAACAGGAGAAGAGGAAGGCCACAUAAACCAUUGAAGGAAGAUAUUGGAGAAGGAGAAGAAGCUCAGAAGACAGAAGAUGUUGAGGAAGCAAAAAUUUAUGUUUCUAGCAAAGACAUGAAAAACCAAUCUGCCAUAGAGAAUGGAAGGAAAAGGAAGAGGUCUGCUCAGGUCAAAGAAAAUAUAAAAUCUGUCAAAGAGGACAAAAAUGUUGAAACAAAAUCAAGUCUUGAUGACUCGACAAAGUCCGUUGGAUUCCGACAAAAUGGGAGUAGGCGGAAAAACAAGCCUCACCGAGCUGCUGAAGCUGGUGUUCAGUGCAAAUGAGUUCAGUUUUGCUGUUGUGAUAGUUGCGCACCUUCUUUGCCGUCAAUGGAUAAAUCAGAAGCAUGGAGAAGGGCUUUGUUGGUUCACCUAUCAUUCCUUAUAUUGCCUUCAUUAUAUGUUUUACAUUUCUUCUUUCUUUUGCGAAUGGAUGAUUUUGAUUGUGAGGUUUUGAAAUAUUCGCUUGUGUCAUGCUAUUUGCUUCUGUUACUAGCCACAGACAUUUUCGUUAGCCCUACAAAAUUUUCUCCGACAGCAUUCAUUUUACUUGAACUUAGAUGAGGCUGCCUUCAUUUCUCUUUCCUGAAAAGGAAAAUAGAUUUGGGGAUAUUCAUUUCUCUUUCCUGAAAAGGAAAAUAGCUAGGGAGGGAGUAUUUAUGCUUUCAAAUUAUCCAAAUUCCACCAGCAGAAUACACUGGUGCUUCAAUUCAGGCAGCUAACAAAAUGAAACUGAAGGCUUUUAUACCUGGAAAUAGACCAUACACCUGAAGUCUUGAAUAAAGAUAAUGGCCUUCACAAUGGAUUACAAGUGUUCACUGGAUUUUGUUGGGCUUUACUUGAACAUAUGUGUUUGGUGUUGGCUCUUCUAGCAGAUGAUAAUUGAGGAGACUCAAAUACUCAACAAGGGAAAACCAGGUGAGUUCAACGGUGAUGGAUUUCAUUUUUAGUUUACAAUACUAACUCUUUAAGUUAUUAAGUUGCCAGUGCUAGAGUCAUGGAUUUCAUUUACAUGGCUGAAUGAUUAAAAUAUAUAGGUAAGCGUGAUUGAUAGUCAUUCUCCUGAUGUUCUGACAAAUAUGGAAAACAAACAUUUUCAAAACAGAAAUCUAUAUGCAUCCCCUUUUUGGUUCCUAUUGUGGAAUAGAUUGGGUUAGGUGCCUGAAUGAAAUUGGUCUCUACAUUCCCUUGGAAAUAAUGAUGAUGUUGAUCAAAUACUCUGCACAUGCAGAGGGGAUCUAAACACGAUAUCAUGUGUGCACCUGUUUUGGUAAUCCAAAUAAAGCUGAAGCUUAGGUAACAAAUUGGCAUCUGAGCAAUUUCACUUUUGUCGAGUGUAUUCAGGAUCCUAUGUUAUGUUCAGUUGUGUCGAGUGUAUUUAGGAUCCUAUGUUAUGUGCAGUUUAGGUUUGAUCUUACACAAGCCAAUUGAACAUACGUUUGCCUCCAAUCUAUACGAAACAAAGUUAUUCCUUACUUGGACUAUCACAUUGAGAACUUAGAAGCAUUUUGUCACUUCGACUAAACUUUUGAAAUACCAUGCAGUGGUUAUUGUGAAGAAUCCUUUAGAUGGUUUAGUGCAACCGGAACACUACUAUUAUCCCACAAGAAGGGUAUACUUUGUGGCUGUUGAAGUGCUUAGAAGGACAAACAAUGAAAUGCCCUUCGGGUAGGAGUCUAGUGAAAACCAGUGUCUUGGAUUACAAACAUGUUAAAUACUAAAGUUUAGCACUGUUGUAUAAUUUCCUUUUGUAUGUGUAGUUUUUGCAGCUAGUAUAAUUGAAUGGCAUAUGGUAGCACACGUUAAAAGCGCCACAUUGUGUGCCAUAUAGCUUGCAGAUCAGAAUACAGGGUGAAAUAAUGAGUUUCGCUUUUGACA